rnacentral:lncRNA from 10 species
UCCCUCAGCCUCCCGGGAGCGUGACGCGGCGGCCCGGGGGCCUCCGGGCGCCUUCCGGGGCACGCGGGUGAGGAACUGGGAAGCGGGGGAAAUCGGCGCCACGGCGGUCGAUUAGCACCGAAACAGAGUGAUGGGCGCGGAGCGUCCCUGCACACACACACACACUCACACACACACACACACGACCCCUGCGGCCACGGGAGGGGAGAGCCGGGGUCGGCUCCGCGAGCGCAGGGUGGCGCUUGUCUCCUCCUGCUUGCCGUAGGAAGUGGACGCUGGAAGCCCGAGGAGCCGCUUCGUGUCUUCCCAAACCUAAGCGGCGCCCCACCCCCUACUUCUCGUGGCCCGUUACGCCCGGGGCAGCCAAGCGCCGCGGGAGCAGCGCCGGGAUCGACCCUGGCUGCUGGGGGGACGCUUUGUCCCAAGAAAGCUGGUUUUUUGCCCCUUAGCUUCGUGGAACGCGGCCGCGAAAUUAGUGGUCUUCUGACCUGAGACUCGCGGGGCUGCGCACACGGGCAUCGCCGAGGACCCCAGCAAUGGACGUCGUGUCUGUGGUGAUCCCGCCAGGACGCGGGGAGCGUGGGCGGAAAUUAGUGUCCACGUUCCGACCCUGCGCUGUGCCAAACGCUGCUUCGGGAGCUGUUUAUUUAGCCUCCGACAGCUAAGCGAAUCGGCGGGCGGCUGGGGCCUGGUGCAACCCGAUUUUCUCGUGCAGACUCGCAGCCGGCUUUGGUUUUGUUUUUUGUUUUUUGUUUUUUUUUUGGAGCCAUGCAGAGGGUAGCUACAGCCAUUAAUUUAAGGAUGUAGAUAAGCUAUCUCUAAACCAAGAAAGUAAGAAUGGUGUGAAUUAUAUUUAUUCCCAGCCUUCCAGUGUUUAUUAAAAUAAUUUUCGGUGUCCUUGAGAGGAGUUAAAAGCCAUCAUUUUACUCCUGCUUACCUCCGCCACCGUAAUUAACCACUUUAUACUGCCUCAUAAUCCCAUUAACAAAUUGCAGUCGCUCCUCAGCCUUCACAUUCAUUCACUCACCAGUUUCUACUGUUUCAUCCUGCCCGGACUCUUAAC